CUACGGGCUGCUGCAGUGAGGAAUAUUGCACAAUGGGGGGAACCCUGAUGCAGCAACGCCGCGUGGAGGAUGACGCAUUUCGGUGUGUAAACUCCUUUUAUAUGUCAAGAAAAUGACGGUAGCAUAUGAAUAAGCACCGGCUAACUCCGUGCCAGCAGCCGCGGUAAUACGGAGGGUGCAAGCGUUACUCGGAAUCACUGGGCGUAAAGGACGCGUAGGCGGGUUGGAAAGUCAGGUGUGAAAUCCUACAGCUUAACUGUAGAACUGCACUUGAAACUUCUAAGCUAGAGUAUGGGAGGGGGAGAUGGAAUUAGUGGUGUAGGGGUAAUAUCCGUAGAUAUCACUAGGAAUACCUAAAGCGAAGGCGAUCUCCUGGAACAUUACUGACGCUAAGGCGUGAAAGCGUGGGGAGCAAACAGGAUUAGAUACCCGAGUAGUC
rnacentral:rRNA from 1 species